GGGGAGCGAAUGGGAAUAGAUACCCCAGUAGUCCUAGCCGUAAACGAUGGAUACUAGAUGUUGUCUGUAUCGACCCAGACAGUGUCGUAGCUAACGCGUUAAGUAUCCCGCCUGGGGAGUACGCACGCAAGUGUGAAACUCAAAGGAAUUGACGGGGGCCCGCACAAGCGGUGGAGUAUGUGGUUUAAUUCGAUGCAACGCGAAGAACCUUACCAGGGCUUGACAUGUCGCGAAUCUUCGGGAAACCGGAGAGUGCCUUCGGGAACGCGAACACAGGUGGUGCACGGCUGUCGUCAGCUCGUGUCGUGAGAUGUUGGGUUAAGUCCCGCAACGAGCGCAACCCUCGUCCUUAGUUGCCAUCAUUAAGUUGGGCACUCUGGGGAGACUGCCGGUGACAAACCGGAGGAAGGUGGGGAUGACGUCAAGUCAGCAUGCCCCUUACGUCCUGGGCGACACACGUACUACAAUGCGACGGACAAAGGGCAGCGAACCAGCGAUGGUCAGCUAAUCCCACAAACCGUGGCUCAGUUCAGAUCGCAGGCUGCAACUCGCCUGCGUGAAGGCGGAAUCGCUAGUAAUCGCCGGUCAGCAUACGGCGGUGAAUUCGUUCCCGGGCCUUGUACACACCGCCCGUCACACCAUGGGAGCUGGUUUAGCCCGAAGUCGUUACCCUAACAUGCAAGGGGGGGGUACGCCGAAGGCUGGG
rnacentral:rRNA from 1 species